CCAAGAUCAAGAUCACUUACACCCACAUAUAUCAUGCUACUUCUACCCUAGGAGUACACAAAAACAUGCCUUUCCACCCCAAAAUCUAUCUCCUACACUAGGAGAAGAUCCAAAAAAAUUGUUAGAUUUCCAAAUAAAUGCUCCAAGAUUGUGAUUUAUCUCUUCUCCAAGUUUAUUGUAUCCUAAGUAAGAGGUAGGAGAUUCUUUGUAAAAUAAGAGAGAAAAAAUAGAAAUAAAAAAGUCUAUGAUCUCUAUGCCUAGAAGUUCAUCAUUGUCACUAAAGAAAGGAGGAAGAAGAUAUUCCAAGACCUCCACAACAAAGUUCUUUAUAAAUUCUUCAGUUGGAGGCAGUCUCUCCAGAAGAAAAGUAGAAUUACGUUAGCCACCAAAUAUUUCCACACACACACAUGCACAUCUUGAUCUAAGAAUAUGGUCUCCCCUC
rnacentral:lncRNA from 1 species